rnacentral:misc_RNA from 1 species
UGUGCUGAUUUCAGGCAAUCCUCAG